CCCUUAGAUGUUCUGGGCCGCACGCGCGCUACGCUGAUGCAUUCAACGAGUUUCUUCCUGGUCCGAGAGGAGUGGGUAACCUUUUGAAAGUGCAUCGUGAUAGGGAUAGACUAUUGCAAUUAUUGGUCUUCAACGAGGAAUUCCUAGUAGACGUAGUUCAUCAGACUGCAUCGAUUACGUCCCUGCCCUUUGUACACACCGCCCGUCGCUCCUACCGAUUGAAUGCUCAGGUGAGCCAUUCGGACUUUCAUCAUGCUGGUUUCCAGUUUUGAUGAAGGAAAGUCUUGCGAACCUUAUCAUUUAGAGGAAGGAGAAGUCGUAACA
rnacentral:rRNA from 1 species